AUUGAACGCUGGCGGCAUGCCUUACACAUGCAAGUCGAACGGCAGCACGGGAGCAAUCCUGGUGGCGAGUGGCGAACGGGUGAGUAAUACAUCGGAACGUGCCCAGUCGUGGGGGAUAACGUAGCGAAAGCUACGCUAAUACCCCAUGGUCCCGCAAGGGUAAAGGUGGCGAAAGCUGCCGCUGCAGGAUUGGCUCGCGGCCUAUCAGCUAGUUGGCGGGGUAACGGCCCACCAAGGCGACGACGGGUACCUGGUCUGAGAGGAUGAUCAGGCACACUGGAACUGAGACACGGUCCAGACACCUACGGGUGGCAGCAGUCGAGAAUAAUUCACAAUGGGCGAAAGCCUGAUGGUGCAACGCCGCGUGGAGGAUGAAGGUCUUCGGAUUGUAAACACCUGUCAUCGGGGAGUAAGACCUGGGCGUGAAUAGCGCACAGGGUUGAUAGUACCCGAAGAGGAAGGGACGGCUAACUACGUGCCAGCCGCCGCCGUAAUAC
rnacentral:rRNA from 1 species